CAUUAGGUGACUGAGUUUUAAGUGUUGGUCUCUUAAACCAUUUUACGGUAAUUUUACCCUUGAUGG
rnacentral:tRNA from 1 species